rnacentral:rRNA from 1 species
GUCCACGCCGUAAACGUUGGGAACUAGAUGUGGGGAUUAUUCAACGAUCUCCGUGUCGCAGCUAACGCAUUAAGUUCCCCGCCUGGGGAGUACGGCCGCAAGGCUAAAACUCAAAGGAAUUGACGGGGCCCGCACAAGCGGCGGAGCAUGCGGAUUAAUUCGAUGCAACGCGAAGAACCUUACCAAGGCUUGACAUAUACAGGAAUAUGGCAGAGAUGUCAUAGCCGCAAGGUCUGUAUACAGGUGGUGCAUGGUUGUCGU